UAAUGACAGUAUGGCAGAAUGUAACCACUAACAGUUCCAGGGAGAUAACUACAGUAUGACAGAAUGUAACCAGGGAGAUAACGACAGUAUGACAGAAUGUAACCAAGGGAGACAACGACAAGGGAAAUAACACCAAUAUGACAGAAUGUAGCCACUCAUAGUACAAGGGAGAUGACAGAAAUGUAGCCAAUCAUAGUCCAAGGGAAGUAACACCAACAUGACAGAAUGUAGCCAAUCACAGUCCAAGGGAAAUAACACCAAUAUGACAGAAUGUAGCCAAUCAUAGUCCAAAGGAAAUAACACCAAUAUGACAGAGUGUAACCAAUCAUAGUCCAAAGGAAGUAACACCAAUAUGACAGAAUGCAGCCAAUCAUAGUCCAAGGGAAAUAACACCAAUAUGACAAAAUGUAGCCAAUCAUAGUCCAGGGCAAUAACACCAAUUUGACAGAAUGUAGCCAAUCAUAGUCCAAGGGA